UCCUUAGGGUGGGCCUACAGCAGCCCACCUUGUGGCUGGCGUGAGGCCCCGGAGGUGGGUAUAGGCAAGCAGGGUCCAGCUGCCUUCUCCUUAGGAUUCGCCCAAUCUGUUGGGUUUCCCCAGCACUGGCAUCCGCAGGUCACUGCCAGGCCCAGCUCAUGGGAGACUCUCAGAGAUGUGGGUGGGACAGCUCAGCUCAGGGAAGUUUCGUCCUUGACCCCUACAAUACAGGUCAUUGGGCCACCUGCGCAGAGACAUGGUAAAAGUGUAGCUACCCAGGUCCCAUAUGACUCAGGAGCAGGGGACGCUGCCCCUGAAUGUGACAGAGCCAGAGAGAGGCUGGCACAGUCAGGUGACGAGAGACCAGAGUCCACGAGGGCAGGGCAGAAAGACAGCUGUGGGCCUGGCUGUCGUGGGAAGAAGCAGGAUGAAUCGGAGGACGUAGACCCAGGGAAGAGCUGGGCCUUUCUCACCUGGUUCCCUGUUCUUAGUGGGCUUGGGGAUAAGCCUGGUGGCUGCAGGGGUGAGGAGGAGGAGCCUGGACUCCCCACCUUCAGUGUGUGGCCUUGAAGCUACACCUGGGCCCUUGCUCGCUCUGCCCACCUCGUCCAGCCAGUAUGCCAUCGGGUCUUCCACCACACAAGACGUGAGGCCAGAACUGCUGUCAGGGAGACUCCCCUGUGUCUUCCACAUCUUCCUCCUGGGCCUGGAGGACCUCCUCCUGAUGUCUGAUUGGAUGAAAGGGUGAAAGUCACUCACUUGACAGCGGGACUGUCUUCUCCCCUCCAAGUCCCCCACCUGUUGCCUUUGGUGGCACACAGUAGUUCCACAAUAUGUGAAAAGGUAGAAUUUUUUGAGAAAAAGGAAAAGGAAGGUUUAUUACUUUGCUAGCAAAAGAGAAACACAGGGGACUCCUGUCCCAGAGGCUAUGAUUCUGCACAUCAGCAGCAACAGGGCGCUUUUAAAGAGGUGAUUCAAAGGCUGCAUUUCCCUUGUUCUCUGUCUGGAGUUGAAUUCACUUGUUAAUUGGGGAGAUGGUCAUUUCUGAGGCCCUCUGGUACCAUCCCCCAGUCUGGACUCCUUCCUUCCUAUGGUGGGUGUGUCCUCAGGACGGAUAACUCUGCCUGGGAUGGGGAGAGAGGUAAUCCUAUUUCCCCUGAGAUUAGGAAGGGAAGAAACAUGUCCAUUUUAAAAAUCAAUUGCAGUGGCCGAGCAGCAAGGGCUACAUCUCAAGCAUAAAGUGGACACUGCUGCAUUGCCCCACGGUCCAGUCUACCUUCCAUGUCUGUGGAAAAACGGGUGACAACAUCUCCAAGCUGCUUCCUGCCGAAAGGGAGCAAAGUUGGGGGAAGUGACCCAAAGUCCUUGUGGGGCAUGGACAGGGAAGGGCAUUCAGCAUCAGAGCAGUCCAGGGGUCCAGUAUAAAAUGGCAGGUAACUGGACAAGGCGUGCACAGGGCAGGCACCAUGCACAUGGCCAAGGGUGGCGCGACUUUACUGGGUUGAGCUUCCUUUAUCUCGAUGGACCACAAUGGAGCAACCCGCUCUGUUCAGGGAGAGGGUCGGAUUUUUUAAAUGUUGAAAAAUAGCAGAAAAAAAAAGGGCUGGAACUCAUGCCUAUUGAGCCUUUCCUCAUGCCGGGCCCUAGAAGGUGGCCUUUCAUGAGCUUGUGGGAGACCCUGAGGGGGGCUGAUGGACCUCAAAUUUUAGGAAGGAAAUAGGCCCGAGGGGUGACCUGCCCAAGGUCACACAGCUGGUCACCAUUAGACACAGAUCCAAACUCUGGCUCAAGAGAUGGGCCCAGGCAUCCAGCCAUGUCCCCCUGCUCUGUUGAGGCCUCAGUCCUUCCAGCUGAGGCCAGGCACCCACUGGCCAGAGCCUUAGCCUCCCAGCUGGCUCUGCACUCUCCUCCCUGAGUAGGGAGGGCAGUGCCUGGAACCAGCCUGGGGCCUCCUAGGACCCCAGCUGGAGCCUUAGGGUCCCUGCACCUUUCCACAGCCAUUCAGUGUGUAGCCCCAGGCAGGCUGACUGAGCUCCACCCAGGCCUACCCUGAGUGGCUGGCAAAGGCUGACCUCACCCUCCACACCCAAGCAUUAGGACAGAGCCAGCUGCUAUUGUGCAAUCCUUGCAAACCAUCUCCACAGUCAGGGCUGGGAGCCUGCCGAGCUGACAAAGCUCAUCCAGCUCCCUUAUGUAAAAGACAAGGACUCAGAGAGGUUAAGCAACUCUUCCCAAGUCACACAGUGUUCAGAACAUUGGAACUAGUCAGUGUGGGUGCGUCGUGUUUUCAAAACCUUCAACACUGUUUAUCUCUGGAGGGUGGAGUUACUUUCCUUUUCUUCCUUGUAAAUCUCAAAUGUGUAAUUUUGGUAACCAAGAGGAAAAGGAAAAAAUGUUAAAAGGCAAACAUAUUUAGGGCAGCAGUGUUCUUCAAACCAAGCUUGUUGGACACAGCUCGCCCACUUCCCAGCUGUGUGUGGCUGGGCAUGUGGCUUCUAUGACACUGCCUGGUUGAUAAAAUGAGAAUAAGAAACGCGUGUCUCUUGCAGGGCCGAUAUGAAGAGCCCGGAGACAGGAUCAGCAGCCCCCAGCCCAUUGUGCCAAGGCAUCCCCUGCCUCUGCACAGCUCACAAGGGUAGUUUUCACAUUUUAAAUGACGGGGGCAAAAACAAUAGAAAGAAGCCUCGUAUUUUGUGACAAGUGAAAGUCACAGGAAAUUCAACUGUGGGUGCUUAUAAAUAAAGUUUUAUCGGCACGUAGGCCCACGCAUUGUGACAGAGACUGUGGUUCACAAAAGCAUUAGGUACUCACUCUGCCGCUUUAAGGCAGAGUUUGCUCACCCCUGACCUGCGCUGAGACCCACAGCUGGCUGGAAAGGGGUUUGGUGGCAUCAGGAAGGGCCAGCCUUGUGCCUGUAGCCACUCGGGGCUUGUGAGGCCCUGUUUAAGGCAGUCACUGCUUCUGCUGUGUUUCCUUGUAUGGAAGGCACGCUGUUCCCAGGCGGGAAUGUGACUUAGGAGUGGGGACACGUCACCCCUCAGUGACACGGCAGGCCGUGGCACUUUUCUUUCUUGGUGGUGUGUGGGCUGGUAAAGAGCCCUAGAGCCAAUGACACCCCGGGCCCCACGAACCCAGCAAGGUAGCCAGGCCCAGGGUGGGAAAGUCACCUGGCCAAUGACGCUCCCGUGGGGAUCAGGCCCCUUUGCACCUAGCACCCAGGUAGAACAUGGGGGACCAGGGAAGGGCCUGGGACAGGCUGACACAGAACAGGGGCUCUGGGCACCGGGCCUCUGUCACCUCCCGCCUCCCUCCUGUCUCGUGGGGCCUCAGUCCCCCUCCCUCCCCUAAACUGGGAGCAGUGACAGCCCUGAAGUCCCUGCUGAGGGUCCAUGUGUGUGGAAAUAGCCACCCUAGGGUUCCCCGCGGGGACCAGGCCCCGUGAUGACUGUGUCCCUCCCCCUGGCCAGGGAGCAGGGACAUGUGUUCUGCCUCUUGGUCCCCAGCACAGAACUCAGAGCAAGGUUGGCUGGACACACACAGGGGGACAGCACAGGAGCCGGAGGCCCGACCUGCAGCAGGGCCUGAUGACUCAGGCUGCUGCCCUGGACGGAGGACGCGCCUGCCCACCAUGGCCGGCCACACCCCUGCUGCUGGCUGGGGGCCGACGCCUGGCCCAGAAGUGACAGCCUCUGAGGGCUCUUUCUUUUCCUUUUUUUUUUUUUUUUUUAACAGAGUAUGAAUUGAGAUAUAAUUUCCUUUUCAUAAUUAGAAAGCGCUCAGUAAUUAACGCUGGCGGGGGCAGAUGAGGUCAUACUUUAUUCCACCUCUUCCCUGGGGAAGCAGGAGGCGGUGCUCUGGGCAGUGUGCUCGGGAUCAUGGGUGAGGACUCCAAACUGGGAAGGCCAACCUUGCCUUUUUGGGAAACACUUGAGUGCCUCAACAAUGAAAAGCCAAGGUGGAGCCCUGGGAAGCUGAAGCCCCUCAGGCGUCCCUGGACCCCAAAGUGACCACAGUGACCAAGAAGCUGGGAGUUACUGUAGAGGCCUUGGGAUGGGUCAGGGCCAGCAGAAGGGGGUGGCUGGCUGGUGCUCCGGGUCACAGGUCAUCCUUACAGGUCAUCCUGGUGACCUAACUGAGGCCCGGCCACCAGGCCCUCCUCUGGUUGUUUGAGAGCCCUCCCGAGGACUGCUGCUUUGCGAGGACAGACCCCACGCGGGGCCACAGGUGCUCGUGAGCAUUGUGUGGGGAUCUCACACUGCCAGUGGCAACACGGAGGCCAGGCUCAGAGGCCCAGGUUCUGGUCCCAGGUGCAGAGACCCCUGAAUUUCAGGAGCCCACAGCGUGCAGGGGCUCCACCCACCACAGUGGACACAGCAAGGCCAGGCAAUGCCUGUGGUCUGAAGGUGACUCUGGGAAGUGAAGGUGACGCCCAGGAAGGCUCCAGUGACCCCAUGCCAUCCCCAGCAGCACCAAGCAGGCCCCGCCAUGCUCCCCAUGCAGCAUGGAGCUGGGUAGCGGGUUCCUGCACCAGGCCAGGCGCAAGGAAAGGUAAGCCUCACCUGCCCCAGGCAGCAGACGGUGUUUCCUGGUUCACAGGUAAGAAUACCAGGGCUCAAGGCCAUUAGGUCAAAUGACCAGGGUUCCCAAGAAAGGGGCAGCACCAUAUCCCCUGACCCUGACAUGGAGGCCGACGGUAUCCUCAGAGCACAGGACAGUCCCCCAGGAAGCCCAGGGCCUUCCUCCCAGCACAGCUGCCCCACCGUAGGCCUCAGCUCGGGCAUUGCCCUGGGUGGGCCAAGAGAGGCAGGCCAGAGAAG